GCCACGGCCAUACCAGCCUGGGUACGCCCGAUCUCGUCUGAUCUCGCAAGCUAAGCAGGGUCGGGCCUGGUUAGUACUUGGAUGGGAGACCGCCUGGGAAUACCAGGUGCUGUAAGCA
rnacentral:rRNA from 1 species